rnacentral:rRNA from 1 species
GACGAACGCUGGCGGCGUGCUUAACACAUGCAAGUCGAGCGGUAAGGCCCUUUCGGGGGUACACGAGCGGCGAACGGGUGAGUAACACGUGGGUGACCUGCCCUCAGCUCUGGGAUAAGCCUGGGAAACUGGGUCUAAUACCGGAUAUGACUCCAUGACGCAUGUUGUGGGGUGGAAAGCCUUGUGCGGCUGAGGAUGGGCCCGCGGCCUAUCGAGCUUGUUGGUGGGGUGANGGCCUACCAAGGCGACGACGGGUAGCCGGCCUGAGAGGCGACCGGCCACACUGGGACUGAGACACGGGCCCAGACUCCUACGGGAGGCAGCAGUGGGGAAUCUUGCGCAAUGGGCGAAAGCCUGACGCAGCGACGCCGCGUGAGGGAUGACGGCC